rnacentral:misc_RNA from 1 species
GUGAGUCAUCGAAUCUUUGAACGCACAUUGCGCCCGCCAGUAUUCUGGCGGGCAUGCCUGUUCGAGCGUCAUUUCAACCCUCAAGCUCUGCUUGGUGUUGGGGAUCGGCAAGGCGUCCUCCGGGUCGCGCCGUCCCCCAAAUAUAGUGGCGGUCUCGCUGUAGCUUCCUCUGCGUAGUAAUACACCUCGCUCUGGAGUCUCGGUGCGGCCACGCCGUAAAACCCCCAACUUUUUUCUGGUUGACCUCGAAUCAGGUAGGACUACCCGCUGAACUUAAGCAUAUCAAUAAGCGGAGGA